GGAUAUGAGUGCCAUCUGGCUGUGACAUCUGUCUCCCAUUGAUUGUCAGAGUUGAUUUGGCUGAACUGACUGGCUAGGUGGGUGUCUGGUCCUCCCUCACCACGCUGCUCAGUGCUCCACAUUCCUUCCUUCCCAGAAUAGAGAGGAUAGGGUCAUUUGGUCAAGGGUAUACCAGUAGCUGCACUCCCCUGUUAGAACCUACAGACAAGCUCUCAAUUUCUCUUC
rnacentral:sRNA from 1 species